rnacentral:SRP_RNA from 1 species
CACGGCCCCCCACGUGGUGUCAUCGCGCUGAACUCCCCCAGGACCGGAAGGUAGCAAGGGUAAGCGGGCUCUGGCAGGUGCGUGGGGGGCCUUUAAC